GGGGACAUGGCGCAGUGGUAGCGCGUCUGCUUUGCAUGCUCACUUCGGUGAACAUCGAUGUGCAGAAGGUCUGGGGUUCGAAACCCCAUGUCUCCA